UGUGGAUAGCGGUGAAAUUCCAAUCGAACUCGGAUAUAGCUGGUUCUCCUCGAAAUAGCUUUAGGGCUAGCCUCAAGGUAAAGAUACACGGGGGUAGAGCACUGACUGUUCGCGGGGCCUUCACCGGUUACCAACAACUAUCAAACUCCGAAUACCGUGCUAUCAUACUUGGGAGUCAGACUAUGAGAGAUAAGUUCCAUGGUCGAAAGGGAAACAGCCCAGAUCAACAGCUAAGGUCCCAAAGAGUAAGUUAAGUGGAAAAGGAUGUGGGAUUGCACAAACAGCUAGGAUGUUGGCUUAGAAGCAGCCAUACAUUUAAAGAGUGCGUAAUAGCUCACUAGUCGAGUGACUUUGCGCCGAAGAUAAACGGGGCUAAAACUUACUACCGAAGCUUUGGAAUUACGAAAGUAAUUGGUAGAGGAGCAUUGUAUAUAGGAAGAAGGGCAAGCGUAAGCGAACCUGGACAGUAUACAAGAGAGAAUGUUGGCAUGAGUAGCGCAAGGCAGGUGAGAAUCCUGCCCGCCGAAAAUCUAAGGAUUCCUGAGGAAGGUUCGUCCGCUCAGGGUAAGUCGGGACCUAAGCCAAGGACGAAAGUCGUAGGUGAUGGACAACUGGUUGAGAUUCCAGUACCACCAAAAUUUGAUUGAGUGAAGUGGGGACGCAGAAGGAAGAGCUGAGCACGCGGUUGGUAGAGCGUGUCCAAGUAUCAAGGGAGAAUAUAAAGGCAAAUCCGUAUAUUCAUAUUCUGAGGUACGAAGGGGAAGGAAAUAAAGUACUGAAGCAGCAUAAAUCACACUGCCAAGAAAAGCCGCUAGCGAGAAUUGAGGUGCCCGUACCGCAAACCGACACAGGUAGAUGAGGAGAGAAUCCUAAGGUGAGCGAGAGAACUAUUGUUAAGGAACUCGGCAAAAUAACCCCGUAACUUCGGGAGAAGGGGUGCCUGCUUCGGCAGGCCGCAGUGAAGAGGUCCAGGCAACUGUUUACCAAAAACACAGGUCUCUGCUAAAGCGAAAGCUGAUGUAUAGGGGCUGACGCCUGCCCGGUGCUGGAAGGUUAAGGGGAAGUGUUAGGGCAACCGAAGCACAGAACUUAAGCCCCAGUAAACGGCGGCCGUAACUAUAACGGUCCUAAGGUAGCGAAAUUCCUUGUCGGGUAAGUUCCGACCCGCACGAAAGGCGUAAUGAUUUG
rnacentral:rRNA from 1 species